GCGAGAGUGGCGAAACUGGCAGACGCGCCGGACUUAGGAUCCGGUGGGUGCAAACCCUUGGGGGUUCAACUCCCCCCUCUCGCACCA
rnacentral:tRNA from 2 species